AUGUGGCCCCGGAUAGCGCGGCCGCUGAAGUUGUGCUCCUGGACUGGCGUAGCCCUUAGGAGCCUGCAUGGGACCCCGACGUGGGCGCGGCCCCUCAUCCCCAUCGUGGUGGAGCAAACGGUAGGACGCCCCUUACACCAUCUGCUUGCCUUCCCCCACAAUUCCUUUGCCUCCUCCUCCUCGCCCCCCCGCCCCGAACCUCCUCGCGGGUACUUGACCAUCUCUUUAAUGCCCAUUUGUAUCCCAUUGUUCCGAUUCCCUUCCAGUCUGCCUUCUCCCCUCAUCCUACCUGUAUAUGUGUGUGUAUGUACACCUAUGUGUGUAUAAAUCUUUAUCUUCUUUGUAUCAGUUCUAAGGCAGAAGAGCAAUAAGGGCUAAGCAACUGGGGUUAAGUGACUUGUCCAGAGUCAAAAAGCUAGGAAGUUUCCGAGUAUGAUUUGAACCUAGGAUCUCCUGUCUCUAAACCUGGCUCUCUGUCCAAAGUCACCUAACUGCCUUUUGAAUAUGUAUUUAUUAAGCACCUACCAAUGUUCUAGGAUACAACUACAACUACAAAGAAUGAAAGAAUCUCUUUAUAUAAUGAUAAGAGCUAAGUGUGGGCAAAACUUUGUACAUUAUUUUUUAAAUAAUUUGAUCUUCAAAACCACUCCUAGGAGGUAGCUGCUGUUCUCCCCAUUUUAGAGUUGAGGAAACUGAGGCAGGCCGACAAAAUGACUUGUCCUGUGGUCAUACCACCAGGUAUCAGAAUCUUUAUUUGAAAUCAGGGCUUCCUGACUCCAGGACUGAAUGUUCUAUCCAUUGUGCUUCUUGGCUACUUCAAGCCCUGUAUAGGGCUUUAAAAGCCAAGUUGAGAAGUUUGAUCUUAGAAGUGGUUUUAUUGUUGUUCAGUCAUUUUCAGUGGUGUCUGACAGUUUUAGAUCUCAUUUGGAGUUUUCUUGGCAAAGAUACUGGAGUGGUUUGCCAUUUUCUCCUCCAGCUCACUUUACAGAUAAGAAAAUUGAGGCAAACCAGGUUUAGUGACUUAUUUAGAGGCAGCUUGGUGGCGCAGCAAAUUCUUAUUUGAACUCCAUCCCUGAAGUCAGGUCAUCAAAUGUCACUUCAGACACUCACUAGCUGGGUGACCCUGGACAAGUCAUUUAAUCCUGUUUUCCUCCGUUUCCUCCUCUAUAAAGUGAGUUGCAGAUGAAACUGCUCCAGUAACUUUGCCAAGAAAACUCCAAAUCUUUGCCAAGAAAACGAAAACUGUCAGAACCUGAACACUGAAAUGCCUGAACAACAAUAGAAUUACACAGUAUCUGAAGUCAUAUUUGAACUCAAGACAUCCUGC
rnacentral:lncRNA from 1 species